UCCCCUGCAUUGGCAGGCGGAUUCUUAAUCACUGUGCCACCAGUGAAGUCCCUCAACUUUUUUUUUUCUUAACUCAGUGCUUUUGUUUUUCCAUGUAUAUGAAUCCUUUCCCAAAUUGGCACUUUUCUUCUACCUCCUUCAUUUCAAUACUGUGCUUUUUAACCGUGCCAUGGGAUUGUUUAGCAUUAUGCCGUCAGCGGUUCACAGGAAAAGAGUAUAUUUGAUUUUAAACAGGAUGAAAAUGACAUCUUUCAUACUUCUGUUUAGUGUGUGAGAAGGCGAAUAUACAAAUACAAUGAACGCUAAAUAAAAUUAAUCAACUCAACAUUUAUUGUGUACCCGCAAGGUACCAGGAACUGUGGAUAAUAACAAUAAUAUUGAGAAGAACAAGUGUUUAUCAGUGGGUGUUCUCUGCCAGGCUCCGCAAUGUGUACUUUACAUCGACUCUGAUUCAAUCCUCAGCACCACACUACGAGGGAGCCACUCUCUGUUUUUCCCGCAAGAUGUAGAUGGUGGGCAUCUCUCCUCGGUCUGUGGCAUUGAUGCAGCUCUCCACUUCUGAACUCUGGCUGAGUGCCACGUGGAAGAGCCAGGACACCUCACCAAGGGAAAGGCUUGCCAGGUCUCCUGACUGAUAAGAGGAAAGUAAACAACAUCCCUUUCGAAAGGAAGCUUGCUGUGACAAGGUUUUGGCCCACGUUCACUAAACAAUGAUGCUUAAAGAGUCAAAAAAA